rnacentral:rRNA from 1 species
ACUCAAAUGAAUAGACGGGGACCCGCACAAGCGGUGGAUUAUGUGGAUUAAUUCGAUGCAACGCGAAAAACCUUACCUACCCUUGACAUGUCCUGAAGGCCCCUGAAAGGGGGCUGUGCCCGAAAGGGAACGGGAACACAGGUGCUGCAUGGCUGUCGUCAGCUCGUGUCGUGAGAUGUUGGGUUAAGUCCCGCAACGAGCGCAACCCUUGUCAUUAGUUGCUACCCGCAAGGGAGCACUCUAAUGAGACUGCCGGUGACAAACCGGAGGAAGGUGGGGAUGACGUCAAGUCCUCAUGGCCCUUAUGGGUAGGGCUUCACACGUAAUACAAUGGCGCGUACAGAGGGUUGCCAAGGAGCGAUCUGGAGCCAAUCCCGUAAAGCGCGUCGUAGUCCGGAUUGCAGUCUGCAACUCGACUGCAUGAAGUCGGAAUCGCUAGUAAUCGCGGAUCAGCAUGUCGCGGUGAAUACGUUCCCGGGUCUUGCACACACCGCCCGU